GGAAGAGCUGAGCCUCAAGAUAAAGCAUCUGCUUUGCAUACAGAAGGUCUCAGGUUCCAUUCCUGGUAGCAUCU